rnacentral:rRNA from 1 species
GAGUUCGAUUAUGGCUCAGAUUGAACGCUGGCGGGAUGCUUUACACAUGCAAUGAACGGCAGCACGGACUUCGGUCUGGUGGCGAGUGGCGAACGGGUGAGUAAUGGUAUCGGAACGUGCCUAGUAGCGGGGGAUAACUACGCGAAAGCGUAGCUAAUACCGCAUAUUGCCUCUUCGGGGGAAAGCGGGGGACCUUUCGGGCCUCGCACUAUUAGAGCGGGCUGAUAUCGGAUUAGCUAGUUGGGUGGGGUAACGGCUCACCAAGGCGACGAUCCGUAGCUGGUUUGAGAGGGACGACCAGCCACACUGGGACUGAGACACGGCCCAGACUCCUACGGGAGGCAGCAGUGGGGAAUUUUGACAAUGGGGGAAAACCCCUGAUCCAGCCAUCCUGCGUGUGCGAUGAAGGCCUUCGGGUUGGGAAGGUUCUUUGGCAGGAAAGAAACGCACGGGAUAAUACCCCGUGCAACUGACGGUACCUGCAGAAUAAGCGCACCGGCUAACUACGUGCCAGCAGCCGCGGUAAUGUAGUGCAAGCGUUAAUCGGAAUUACUGGGCGUAAAGCGUGCGCAGGCGGUUCGGAGAAAGAUGUGAACCGCAGAGCUUAACUGAACUGCAUUUUUAACUACUGAGCUAGAGUGUGUCAGAGGGAGGUACCCGCGUAGCAGUGAAAUGCGUAGAUAUGCGGAGGAACACCGAUGGCGAAGGCAGCCUCCUGGGAUAACACUGACGCUCAUGCACGAAAGCGUGGGGAGCAAACAGAUUAGAUACCCUGGUAGUCCACGCCCUAAACGAUGUCAACUAGCUGUUGGGUCCUUCGGGCCUUGGUAGCGCAGCUAAUCGCGUGAAGUUGACCGCCUGGGGAGUAUACGGUCGCAAGAUUAAAACUCAAAGGAAUUGACGGGGACCCGCACAAGCGGUGGAUGAUGUGGAUUAAUUCGAUGCAACGCGAAAAACUCCACUACCCUUGACAUGUCUGGAAUCCCGAGCAGAUUUGGGAGUGCUCGCAAGAGAACUGAACACAGGUGCUGCAUGGCUGUCGUCAGCUCGUGCUUCUGCGAGAUGCUGCUGUUCCGCAACGAGCGAGCGCAACCUCUUGUCAUUAGUUGCUGAAAGGGCACUCUAAUGAGACUGCCGGUGACAAACCGGAGGAAGGUGGGGAUGACGUCAAGUCCCUGCGGCCCUUAUGGGUAGGGCUUCACACGUCAUACAAUGGUCGGGACAGAGGGUCGCCAACCCGCGAGGGGGAGCCAAUCCCAGAAACCCGAUCGUAGUCCGGAUCGCAGUCUGCAACUCGACUGCGGAAGUCGGAAUCGCUAGUAAUCGCGGAUCAGCAUGUCGCGGUGAAUACGUUCCCGGGUCUUGUACACACCGCCCGUCACACCAUGGGAGUGGGUUUUACCGGAAGUAGUUAGUUCAACGUAAGGAGGGCGAUUACCACAGUAGGAUUCAUGACUGGGGUGAAGUCGUAACAAGGUAA